GCUGUAGCUCAGUGGUAGAGCAUCUAUUUUGCAUGCAGAAGGUCCCAGGUUCAACUCCCCAGGAACUCCA